CACAAGCAGUUUGUUAUGACAGUAACCCGUUUAACACCAAAUACUGCUUCUGCCAGAUGCUCAGAUGCUCAGAGACAGAGUUGAGUCUCCAUUUGGAAAACGAUUGCAUGCAGCUCAGACCAACGAAGAAAUAUGGAACAGCGAACUCAAGAUCGAGCUUUCCAGUCUGCGGUUAUCGUGGACGAUAAGAAGUACCGCUCUACUCUGUGGGAGAAACCAAAGAAGUUGGCAGAGCAGGCCGCGGCUACAGUGUGUUUGCAUACUCUCGGGCUUCCAGGGGGCCGAAUCGGAGAGGAGCACAGCGUAAACGCUAGAGGGACGACAGAAAGUGUGCAGCAUUAGAUGCCAAUGAGUCAGCAGCGCGAAAGAGACAUAUAAGUGAAGUCCCACAGGAAGAGGAAGAGGAAAUGAUAUGCAGGACGAAAGUUGUGAAUGGUGUCUGUGGUCAGACCACAUGUUAACAUUGGCCAGACACCAUCUGAACUCACUCUUAAACACAUUCAUUCCCUUUCAUUAAAGUGCAGAGUGCAGUUUUAUCUGACAAAUAACGGUGCACUUUGUAUUUGCUUUUAAGUUUUGUUAAAUUCAGUCUUCCAAGUGCCAUCUCUGUCUUAUUGCACACUAGUGCUGGUUUGUUAUUUUCUUUCUGACACAAUUUUUGCCUGGAGGAAUAAUGAGAUUUUUAUUAAACACACUUUUAAAGUUAUUUCGACAGAUUUCCACCCUUCACCAGAAGGGUGCAGUGUAUCUCCACGUACUUACAGUACAAGGAAGUACCAGAAGUACCAUAACAUGUCAUAAAACUUUUUUAUUUUAAGAAAUUUUUUUUUGUUUUGUUU